rnacentral:rRNA from 1 species
UACAGAGGGGCAAGCGUUGUUCGGAAUUACUGGGCGUAAAGGGUGCGCAGGCGGCCAUGUGUGUGAGGCGUGAAAGCCCGGGCUUAACCCCGGAAUUGCACCUCAAACUACAUGGCUAGAGCAUUGGAGAGGGUAGCAGAAUUCAUGGUGUAGCAGUGAAAUGCGUAGAUAUCAUGAGGAAUACCAGAGGCGAAGGCGGCUACCUGGACAAUUGCUGACGCUCAGGCACGAAAGCGUGGGGAGCAAAAGGG